rnacentral:rRNA from 1 species
GCCUCCCUCCGCCGCCACUCAGACUCCGUACGGGAGGCGAGCAGUGGGAAGUCUUGCGCAAUGCGCGAAGCGUGACGCAGCAACGCCGCGUGGUGAAGACGGCCUUCGGUUGUAAGCCUUUCAGUUGGGACGAAGCUUCGUCGGUGAAUAGCCGACUGGAGUGACGGUACCUUCAGAAGAAGCCCGGCUAACUACGUGCCAGCAGCCGCGGUAAUAC